AUCGCUUACACUUGUAUCUACUCUGAGUUCCAAGGAAAAAUGUGGUUACUAUAGCAACUGCCACAUUACACUUAUGCAGUCUUUGGAAUAGAUUAAAUUGCUGAAAACCUCAAGGUUUUGUUUGACUCUGUUGAGAACUGCAGCUAAAUGUACUGAAGUUACUUAAUCAAAGUCAUUGGUGCCUCUGGGUUUACACUGAAAAUGAUGCAAGAAGAGUCUAUCAAUAUGGAAAUCCUGAAUCAUCCUCUGCAACACAUCACUGCAUUUGCACAAGGACGCUGGCUGGACCCAACAGGCUGGUGGGCUGAAACACUUUUGGCUGCAGAGAAGGGAUUAAACUUGGACUCCAUUAAGUGACUGUAGCUGGAAGAUAUGACUUUGGGCUGAAUGGCUUUAAGUAGUUUACAGGAGACCUUGUGGUAGUGAUAAACCUUGUGUAGUCAUUUCUAUUCUAAGGUUUAAAACUGGAGGCAUGUUAAACAGAUGCCAAGAAGAAGAGAAAAUUAAUCUUUAGCUAUUGAUUAAAGUUUCUGCAGACCUGAAAAGAACUGUAAAAGUAAAUAAAUGUUUUUUAUUAAACCUUUGUCCUGUUAAAUGACAGGAAUCUACAUUCAGCUAGCAUAGUGUGAUUUACUCUUAUGGUAACAAGAAAACUUCAGGCAGAAACUAAUUUUCCGCAUCCACUGAACCUGCAUUCAUGUGAAAAAAUCUAAUGAUUGUAAUAGAACUACCUGUAGGAGUAAAUUUUAUUGUAUAGUAUGAAAUGUCCAAGGUUUAACAUAUGCAAUGUAAUAUUCAGGUGCGAUGGAAUACCAGCUUAUCCUAUGAGAUGUUGUCUGCCUUCUCAGUAGUUACACUGGAGCUUGCAAAGAAUGCAAGUUUUUGUAGUUUUCAACCUCUGUGUGCUCAGUUCACAAAAGAACUAAAGGCUACAACUCUUUUCUUCUGUAGUUUUUGAAGUAGUGCCAAGUACAUUCAGAUGUGCAUUAAGGAAAUUUGAAUACAGUUUUAAAAUAUUUGCUUUACUAUUUGGUUAAAAAGAAGUGAGCUUGGAUUCCUCUCCCCCCCACCCCCCAACCCUGAUCCCCCAGGAUUCUACCUCUAGCUAUGUAGAGAUAUCUGUUAUACUUUGCAUGAAGUUACUUAGUGCUUACUUGAUCACUUCCUAUAGUUCUGCUGUGACGGCAGUAAUCUUCAGUAUGGAGGAAGUCUUUAUUGCUAUUUUCCAUGCAUUUACAUCCUAAGGCAGCAGCUUUAUUGAUUUCAUCAGACUUGAAUGUUAAUGCUGACUGUAAGCCAAAUCCUGCCUGUCUCACGUGCAUACUGUUUUAGAGAACUUUAUGGAUGUAACAGAAUUUGGCCCUUUCUAGUUUUAAAACUUUUGCAAUGUUAUACAUCUAUUUAUUUAUCUUUGUUGUAUUUCAAAUAUGCAUGAUAUUGACUCAGGUGACUAUACCAAAUACAGGGUCAUUGCUGUACAAAUUAGAUGGGGAUAACUCAGACAGUAGACUUCUCUCUUGAAAGCCAGCCAUUUUUGCCUUGGAUUUAUAUGCACUUCCUAUAUGAGACAUUGAAAGUGCCACAGAAUAAAACAUGUAACUGGUGUAAUGUUUAACAA